CCUACGGGAGGCAGCAGUGGGGAAUAUUGCGCAAUGGGGGAAACCCUGACGCAGCGACGCCGCGUGGAGGAUGAAGGUCUUCGGGUUGUAAACUCCUUUUCUUGGGAAAGAUAAUGACGGUACCCAAGGAAUAAGCCACGGCUAACUCUGUGCCAGCAGCCGCGGUAAGACAGAGGUGGCGAGCGUUGUUCGGAAUUACUGGGCUUAAAGGGCGAGUAGGCGGUGGAGCAAGUCUGAGGUGGAAUCUUAGGGCUUAACCCUAAAACUGCCUUAGAAACUGUUUUACUUGAGUCAGUGAGGGGAGGGCGGAAUUCCUGGUGUAGCGGUGAAAUGCGUAGAUAUCAGGAGGAAGGCCUGUGGCGAAGGCGGCCCUCUGGCACUGUACUGACGCUGAGGCGCGAAAGCGUGGGUAGCAAACAGGAUUAGAUACCCUGGUAGUCCACGCCGUAAACGAUGAGUGCUAAGUGUUAGAGGGUUUCCGCCCUUUAGUGCUGCAGCAAACGCAUUAAGCACUCCGCCUGGGGAGUACGGCCGCAAGGCUGAAACUCAAAGGAAUUGACGG
rnacentral:rRNA from 1 species